rnacentral:tRNA from 1 species
UCAGAGAGUAGUUUAAUUAGUAAAAUACUGGCUUUGGGGGCCAGAGAUGGUAGAUCCUUCUUUGAU